UACGAAGGGGGCUAGCGUUGUUCGGAAUCACUGGGCGUAAAGGGCGCGUAGGCGGCUUUAUAAGUCGGGGGUGAAAGCCUGUGGCUCAACCACAGAAUUGCCUUCGAUACUGUAGAGCUUGAGUUCGGGAGAGGUGAGUGGAACUGCGAGUGUAGAGGUGAAAUUCGUAGAUAUUCGCAAGAACACCAGUGGCGAAGGCGGCUCACUGGCCCGAUACUGACGCUGAGGCACGAAAGCGUGGGGAGCAAACAGG
rnacentral:rRNA from 1 species